rnacentral:rRNA from 1 species
AUUGAACGCUGGCGGCAUGCUUUACACAUGCAAGUCGGACGAGUGGCGAACGGGUGAGUAAUGUAUCGGAACGUACCUAAUAAUGGGGGAUAACUAAUGGAAAGAUUAGCUAAUCCCGCAUAUUAUUCGAGCAGCCGAUAUCGGCUUAGCUAGUUGGUGGGGUAAAGGCCUACCAAGGCGACGAUCAGUAGCGGGUCUGAGAGGAUGAGCACCAACACUGGGACUGAGACACGGCCCAGAAUCCUACGGGAGGCAGCAGUGGGGAAGUUUGGAAAAUGGGCGCAAGCCUGAUCCAGCCCGGCCGGGGGUAUGAAGAAGGCCUUCGGGUUGUAAAGUACUUUGUGAAGGGAAGCGUUACCUAAAGAAGAAGCACCGGCUAACUACGUGCCAGCAGCCGCGGUAAUUC